CACGUAGGGUGCGAGCGUUGUCCGGAAUUAUUGGGCGUAAAGGGCUCGUAGGCGGUUUGUCGCGUCGGGAGUGAAAUCCACUGGCUUAACUGGUGGCUUGCUUUCGAUACGGGCAGACUGGAGGUAUGCAGGGGAGAACGGAAUUCCUGGUGUAGCGGUGAAAUGCGCAGAUAUCAGGAGGAACACCAGUGGCGAAGGCGGUUCUCUGGGCAUGUCCUGACGCUGAGGAGCGAAAGUGUGGGGAGCGAACAGG
rnacentral:rRNA from 1 species